rnacentral:rRNA from 1 species
AUUGAACGCUGGCGGCAGGCCUAACACAUGCAAGUCGGACGGUAGCACAGAGGAGCUUGCUCCUCGGGUGACGAGUGGCGGACGGGUGAGUAAUGUCUGGGGAUCUGCCCGAUAGAGGGGGAUAACCACUGGAAACGGUGGCUAAUACCGCAUAACGUCGCAAGACCAAAGAGGGGGACCUUCGGGCCUCUCACUAUCGGAUGAACCCAGACGGGAUUAGCUAGUAGGCGGGGUAACGGCCCACCUAGGCGACGAUCCCUAGCUGGUCUGAGAGGAUGACCAGCAACACUGGAACUGAGACACGGUCCAGACUCAUACGGGAGGCAGCAGUGGGGAAUAUUGCACAAUGGGCGCAAGCCUGAUGGAGCCAUGCCGCGUGUAUGAAGAAGGCCUUCGGGUUGUAAAGUACUUUCAGCGGGGAGGAAGGCGAUGUGGUUAAUAACCGCAUUGAUUGACGUUACCCGCAGAAGAAGCACCGGCUAACUCCGUGCCAGCCGCCGCCGUAA